GACCUGAUGGUGGAGUGGUUACCAUGCCUGUUGAAGCUGAAGGGUGUACAAACCAGUUUGGUAGGAGGCUCCCGUUCGAUUCGGGGUCAGGUCA